ensembl:ribozyme
GCAUAGUGUUACCAUCAACAACCUUAACUUCAUUUUUCUUAUUCAAUACCUAGGUAGGUAGAUGCUAGAUUCUGGAAAUAAAAUAUGAGUCUCAAGUGGUCCUUGUCCUCUCUCCCAGUCAAAUUCUGAAUCUAGUUGGCAAGAUUCUGAAAUCAAGGCAUAUAAUCAGUAAUCAGUGAUGAUAGAAGGGUA